UACGUAGGGGGCAAGCGUUGUCCGGAAUUAUUGGGCGUAAAGCGCGCGCAGGCGGUUCUUUUAAGUCUUGUGUUUAAUCCCGGGGCUCAACCCCGGUUCGCAUGGGAAACUGGAGAGCUGGAGUGCAGGAGAGGAAAGUGGAAUUCCACGUGUAGCGGUGAAAUGCGGUAGAGAUGUGGAGGAACACCAGUGGCGAAGGCGACUUUCUGGCCUGUAACUGACGCUGAGGCGCGAAAGCGUGGGGAGCAAACAGG
rnacentral:rRNA from 1 species